rnacentral:rRNA from 1 species
AUUGAACGCUGGCGGCAUGCCUAACACAUGCAAGUCGAGCGGAUGAAGGGGGCUUGCUCCUGGAUGCAGCUGCGGACGGGUGAGUAAUUCCUAGGAAGCUGCCUUGUAUUUGGGGAUAACGUCCGGAAACGGGCGCUAAUACCGCAUACGUCCUGAGUGUGAAAGGGGGGGAUCUUCGGACCUCGCGCUAUCAGAUGAGCCUAGUUCGCAUUAGCUAGUUGGUUAGGUAACGGCUUACCAAGGCGACGAUCCGUAACCGACCUGAGAGGAUGAUCAGCCACACUGGAACUGAGACACGGUCCAGACUCCUACGGGAGGCAGCAGUAGGGAAUCUUGCGCAAUGGGCGAAAGCCUGACAGAGCAACGCCGCGUGAGUGAUGAAGGUCUUCGGAUCGUAAAACUCUGUUAUUAGGGAGGAACAUAUGUGUAAGUAACUGUUCACAUCUUGACGUUACCUAAUCAGAAAGCCACGGCUAACUACGUG